GAGGUCAUAGCUCAGUGGUAGAGUACAUGCUUAGAGUGCACAAGGUCCUGGGUUCAAUCCUCAGUACCUCC
rnacentral:tRNA from 1 species